rnacentral:rRNA from 1 species
UGGGGAAUUUUGGGCAAUGGGCGAAAGCCUGACCCAGCAACGCCGCGUGAAGGAUGAAGUAUUUCGGUAUGUAAACUUCGAAAGAAUAGGAAGAAUAAAUGACGGUACUAUUUAUAAGGUCCGGCUAACUACGUGCCAGCAGCCGCGGUAAUACGUAGGGACCAAGCGUUGUUCGGAUUUACUGGGCGUAAAGGGCGCGUAGGCGGCAAUUCAAGUCAUCUGUGAAAUCUCCGGGCUUAACUCGGAACGGUCAGAUGAUACUGCUUUGCUAGAGUGCAGAAGGGGCAAUCGGAAUUCUUGGUGUAGCGGUGAAAUGCGUAGAUAUCAAGAGGAACACCUGAGGUGAAGACGGGUUGCUGGGCUGACACUGACGCUGAGGCGCGAAAGCCAGGGGAGCAAACGGGAUUAGAUACCCCCGUAGUCCCUGAGCGGGCUGGCAAGGCGCAU